CCAGGCUCUGGCACAGCAGGGACAAGUGCCACCUUUGUACGGUGCCAUUCCUGCCACACAGAGCUAACGGCAGCUGCACACACAGACAGUGGGAUAAUGCUCUCGUUCAUAAUAAACUUCCUCAGAAGAUAGACAAGUUUGCAGGAGUAUUCUAGGAACAGCAGACUUUUCACUAACCGCUUCAGAGCUGGGCGCUGGAGUUGAAUUCACCUGUGCAAUGUUUCAUCCCCACAACCGGGCUGACUAUUCCUUCCAGAAAGAGACAUUUUUGUUCUGAGUGCCCGGGCCAAGCUAGCACCUCACCACAGCCUCUCCUCCCAGCACACACACCAGCGGGCACCAGUGAGCCCAAACUGCCUGAGGUAAGAUGGCGCCCAAGGGAACCAAGAUGGCGCCUAAGGGAACCAAGAUGGCGCCCAUCUCCUCAGCCCUGCACCUUCUAGAAGGUUCUGCUGCCCCAGCCCCACCUUGCCCCAGCAGCGCUCCUGUCCCUAAGGCAGGGGGUCUUGGCUGAGGUGACCCUGCCCUUCACAGAGCCUCUGCCCCACAAGUAUGUGGUGCUUCGUGUCUUUUUUGAGGUGG